AUUGAACGCUGGCGGCAUGCCUUACACAUGCAAGUCGAACGGUAACAGGUCUUCGGAUGCUGACGAGUGGCGAACGGGUGAGUAAUGCAUCGGAACGUGCCCAGUAGUGGGGGAUAGCCCGGCGAAAGCCGGAUUAAUACCGCAUACGACCUGAGGGUGAAAGGGGGGGAUCGCAAGACCUCUCGCUAUUGGAGCGGUCGAUGUCAGAUUAGCUAGUUGGUGGGGUAAAGGCCUACCAAGGCAACGAUCUGUAGUUGGUCUGAGAGGACGACCAGCCACACUGGGACUGAGACACGGCCCAGACACCUACGGGAGGCAGCAGUGGGGAAUUUUGGACAAUGGGCGCAAGCCUGAUCCAGCAAUGCCGCGUGCAGGAAGAGGGCCUUCGGGUUGUAAACUGCUUUUGUCAGGGAAGAAAUCUUCUGGGUUAAUACCUCGGGAGGAUGACGGUACCUGAAGAAUAAGCACCGGCUAACUACGUGCCAGCCGCCGCGGUAACAC
rnacentral:rRNA from 1 species